rnacentral:tRNA from 1 species
UAGCUCAGCUGGAUAGAGCAACGGAUUUCUAAUCCGUCGGUCGGGGGUUCAAGUCCUCC